rnacentral:rRNA from 1 species
UACGUAGGGGGCAAGCGUUGUCCGGAUUUAUUGGGCGUAAAGAGCGUGUAGGCGGCCAGAUAGGUCAGAUGUGAAAACUCGAGGCUCAACCUCGAGAUGUCGGCUGAAACCAUCUGGCUAGAGUCCGGAAGAGGAGAAUGGAAUUCCCGGUGUAGCGGUGAAAUGCGCAGAUAUCGGGAAGAACACCCGUGGCGAAGGCGGCGCUCUGGGCCGGAACUGACGCUGAGGAGCGAAAGCGUGGGUAGCAAACAGG